rnacentral:rRNA from 1 species
UUUUAUGGAGAGUUUGAUCCUGGCUCAGGAUGAACGCUGGCGGCGUGCCUAAUACAUGCAAGUCGAGCGAACGGACGAGAAGCUUGCUUCUCUGAUGUUAGCGGCGGACGGGUGAGUAACACGUGGAUAACCUACCUAUAAGACUGGGAUAACUUCGGGAAACCGGAGCUAAUACCGGAUAAUAUUUUGAACCGCAUGGUUCAAAAGUGAAAGACGGUCUUGCUGUCACUUAUAGAUGGAUCCGCGCUGCAUUAGCUAGUUGGUAAGGUAACGGCUUACCAAGGCAACGAUGCAUAGCCGACCUGAGAGGGUGAUCGGCCACACUGGAACUGAGACACGGUCCAGACUCCUACGGGAGGCAGCAGUAGGGAAUCUUCCGCAAUGGGCGAAAGCCUGACGGAGCA